UACGUAGGGUGCAAGCGUUUGUCCGGAAUUAUUGGGCGUAAAGAGCUUGUAGGCGGUUUGUCGCGUCUGCUGUGAAAUUUCGGGGCUCAACCCCGAACUUGCAGUGGGUACGGGCAGACUAGAGUGUGGUAGGGGAGACUGGAAUUCCUGGUGUAGCGGUGAAAUGCGCAGAUAUCAGGAGGAACACCGAUGGGCGAAGGCAGGUCUCUGGGCCGAUACUGACGCUGAGGAGCGAAAGCGUGGGGAGCGAACAGG
rnacentral:rRNA from 1 species